rnacentral:rRNA from 1 species
GUGUUAGGGAGCGCGGCGGCGUGUGUGUCUCCGCUCUACGGAGCACGAACUUGGGGGGAGUGUCGGAGAGGAUGGAAGCAAGCGAGGACCGAGGCGGUUCGGCGCGGCGACGGUACGGAGCCACGAUCGGAAGGUACAGGGGAACCGGGGCUGCGGCGGGAGACGGAGGUUGGCGGCCGCGGAGCAGCAGGAAGCACGCGGGCGCGGGUUCCUUAGCGGCGGUUGGUCUCGUUGGAGCGGCAGCGGGCUUCGACGGAGCGGCCUGGCGAAGGAGUGGCCUAGAGGAGGGGAGGCAGCGAGCAGGGGUAGGAGGAGGUGCGACCUGCGGUAGCUCGGUGAGGCGGGGGAAGGGAUGUAGCUUAUGCUACCUCGGGUCCUCGGUCUGCGGUGGCAACUGCUACUCAGGAUGAUGUGGCCUCCACGGAUGAUGAUACACGUCGGGCGAUUACCGCUGGUCCUCAUCAAUCCUCCUAGGGUCCGUCCUCCGGACGCGGAGAAGGCUAGACAUAGGGUCAAACACGAUCGGAAGAAUUCCGUUUGAACAAAUUGAAUACAGACGUGAAUCUAUAACGACGAAGGCGACUGAGCAAAUACUAGCUCGAGAACAUAAGCUCGGGAGCUCCGGGGACCAAACAUUAUACUACGAACAUACUGAAUAAAAUAAA